rnacentral:rRNA from 1 species
UACAGAGGUGUCAAGCGUUGUUCGGAUUUAUUGGGCGUAAAGCGUGCGUAGGCGGCGAGGUAAGUGAGAUGUGAAAUCCCACGGCUUAACCAUGGAAGUGCAUCCGAAACUGCAGAGCUUGAGUACUUAAGAGGAUCGCGGAAUUCCCGGUGUAGAGGUGAAAUUCGUAGAUAUCGGGAGGAACCCCAGUGGCGAAGGCGGCGAUCUGGGAAGAUACUGACGCUGAGGUGCGAAAGCGUGGGGAGCAAACAGG